rnacentral:tRNA from 2 species
GGCGGGAUAGCUCAGUUGGUAGAGCAGGGGACUGAAAAUCCCCGUGUCCCCGGUUCGAUUCCGGGUCCCGCCACCA